rnacentral:rRNA from 1 species
GACGAACGCUGGCGGCGUGCUUAACACAUGCAAGUCGAACGGAAAGGCCCCUUUUGGGGUACUCGAGUGGCGAACGGGUGAGUAACACGUGAGUAACCUGCCCUUGUCUUCGGGGUAACCUCCGGAAACUGGGGCUAAUACCGGCUAGGAAUCCUUGCUGCAUGGUGGGGGUUGGAAAGCUUCGGCGGUUUUGGAUGGACUCGCGGCUUAUCAGCUUGUUGGUGGGGUAGUGGCUUACCAAGGCUUUGACGGGUAGCCGGCCUGAGAGGGCGACCGGCCACAUUGGGACUGAGAGACGGCACAGACUCCGACGGGAGGCAGCAGUGGGGAAUAUUGCACAAGGGGCGGCAGCCUGAUGCAGCAAGGCCGCGGGCGGGAUGACGGCCUUCGGGUUGUAAAACGCUUGCAGGAGGGGCGAAGCUUGUGGUGACGGUACCUGCAGAAGAAGCACCGGCUAACUACGUG